rnacentral:rRNA from 1 species
GUGCCAGCAGCCGCGGUAACACGGGGGGAGCAAGCGUUGUUCGGAAUCACUGGGCGUAAAGGGCGUCUAGGCGGUUGGAUAAGUGGGGUGUGAAAUCCCUCGGCUCACCCGAGGAUCUGCAUCCCAAACUGUCCGGCUUGAGUAUGGGAGAGGAUGAGGGAAUUCCUGGUGUAGCGGUGAAAUGCGUAGAUAUCAGGAGGAACACCGGUGGCGAAAGCGCUCAUCUGGCCCAAUACUGACGCUGAAGCGCGAAAGCUAGGGGAGCAAACGGGAUUAGAUACCCCGGUAGUCCUAGCCGUAAACGGUGAUCACUAGGUGUUGGGGGCAUCGACCCCUCCAGUGCCGCAGCUAACGCAUUAAGUGAUCCGCCUGGGGAGUACGGCCGCAAGGUUGAA